AGAGACGGAGAUGGACAUGUUGAUUACAAAAUACAAUAAUUUGAUUUGGAAACCAAAUUAAAACCAUAUUAAAGCCAUAUUGCAUUUGGAGACUAAAAGCAGCCCAGAUUAACUGUGUGUACUGGAAUAAGUCAUGAGACACAAGUGGAAAAAGCAUAAUGUAAUUAU